UACGGAGGAUGCGAGCGUUAUCCGGAUUUAUUGGGUUUAAAGGGUGCGUAGGCGGAUUAAUAAGUCAGUGGUGAAAACCUGCAGCUUAACUGUAGAAUUGCCAUUGAUACUGUUAGUCUUGAGUACGGUCAAGGUAGGCGGAAUGUGUAAUGUAGCGGUGAAAUGCUUAGAUAUUACACAGAACACCGAUUGCGAAGGCAGCUUACUGGGCCAUUACUGACGCUGAUGCACGAAAGCGUGGGGAGCGAACAGGAUUAGAUACCCUGGUAGUCCACGCCGUAAACGAUGAUCACUCGCUGUUGGCGAUACACAGUCAGCGGCUAAGCAAAAGCAUUAAGUGAUCCACCUGGGGAGUACGGCCGCAAGGCUGAA
rnacentral:rRNA from 1 species